CCCUUAGAUGUUCUGGGCAGCACGCGCGCUACAAUGGUCUUCGCAAACGGAUGCAUUCUCGAAGGAGAAUGCCAAUCUUGGAAUCUAUGCCUUGGUCGGGACAGUUGCUUGCAAUUUUUCGACUCGAACCAGGAAUUCCUUGUAAUCGUGAUUCAUCACAUCACGAUGAAUACGUCCCUGCCCUUUGUGCACACCGCCCGUCGCUCCUACCGAUCGAAGAGUUAGGUGAAUUGUUUUGAUCGAUAAGGUUUGACUAUGGUCAACUCUCGUUGUGAAAUUCUGUGAAUCUGACUGUUUAGAGGAAGGAAAAGUCGUAACA
rnacentral:rRNA from 1 species